UACGUAGGGUGCAAGCGUUGUCCGGAAUUAUUGGGCGUAAAGAGCGUGUAGGCGGCCCGACCAGUCCGCUGUGAAGGUCCAGGGCUCAACCCUGGAAUGCCGGUGGAUACUGUCGGGCUAGAGUCCGGAAGGGGCGAGUGGAAUUCCUGGUGUAGCGGUGAAAUGCGCAGAUAUCAGGAGGAACACCAAUGGCGAAGGCAGCUCGCUGGGACGUGACUGACGCUGAGACGCGAAAGCGUGGGGAACAAACAGG
rnacentral:rRNA from 1 species